rnacentral:misc_RNA from 1 species
UAUCGAGUUAUUCUUGGGUGGAAAUUAUUUUUCAUCUCUACUUCUACUUCGUCAAUUUUUCGUCAAGUACUCCCACAGCAAUUUUCUUUUUGAGGGAAAAAUUCGAUACGGAGCAGGGAUACAAUGGACGAAUUCACCUAGCGGUUACAGCGACUGGGUAUUUUAUUAUACCAGGUUAAGAAGUGGCGUGGUUCAAACGUUUAAUAUCCAAGCUUUCGACGAAAAACUCUACCAUAUGUGGAGUAUUAUCAAAACGUACCCACGUCGUUUCAAGUGCAUGGCAGUCGUCCAGGUAAAAAGGACUCGUAGAGCCCUCCUACUACAUGGUCCUUACCUCGAUUCCCUCUGUGUAAACAUCAUACGCGUCACAGAUGUAACAUCGGUGCGCCGAAAAAUUCAUUUCGAAGUUCUCGAUCGAUACGAUUCCGGU